rnacentral:rRNA from 1 species
GACGUAGGGCGCGAGCGUUGUCCGGAUUUAUUGGGCGUAAAGAGCUCGUAGGCGGCUUGUUGCGUCGACUGUGAAAACCCGCGGCUUAACCGCGGGCUUGCAGUUGAUACGGGCAGGCUAGAGUUCGGUAGGGGAGACUGGAAUUCCUGGUGUAGCGGUGAAAUGCGCAGAUAUCAGGAGGAACACCGGUGGCGAAGGCGGGUCUCUGGGCAGUAACUGACGCUGAGGAGCGAAAGCGUGGGGAGCGAACAGG